CAGCUUGUAAAUGAACCACGUGACUUCUGCACAUGCGUAUUAUAUGAGUAAAACGUUCGACUACGUUUUGCGUCUGUUUUACCGACGGAUUACACCACAUUGUACAGUUAAUUUCUAUAUACCGACAUCAAUGUACGUGACUUCAGCGACAUAAUGGACAAAAAAUGAAUUACAUGCGCAACAGGGAAACAGUAUCGCCUAUUGUAUCGGUGUAUAAGCUGUGUAAUUACACUCGAGCGAUCACUCGAGUAGAGUCACGAGCGAGCGACGACGUGUCCUAUCGCAUAACGACGAUUUUCUCCUCGUCCGAUUAGAUUUCUUUCUUCGAACGGUCUUCAUUCUUGAUCAUUAUUUCCAAGAAAUAAAUAAUCAACAAAAUAUCCUGAUACUCCUCGAUCGAUCACUCAACUCAAUGACGUAAGUAUUUAAACGUUACAUCCACGAUCGUUUCGUUCCACGAUCUAUCGCAAAUUGAUCAUUAAAAACAAAGAAUAUUAUUCCCCUUCUCUUAUCCGGGAAAUAAAAAUGAAGCGAAUAAAAAAAAGAAAAAGAAAAAAAGAAAAGAAGAAGAAAAGAUACGCACUUAUCUUACCUUUUUGU